GACGAACGCUGGCGGCGUGCUUAACACAUGCAAGUCGAACGGAAAGGCCCUGCUUUUGUGGGGUGCUCGAGUGGCGAACGGGUGAGUAACACGUGAGUAACCUGCCCUUGACUUUGGGAUAACUUCAGGAAACUGGGGCUACUACCGGAUAGGAGCUCCUGCUGCAUGGUGGGGGUUGGAAAGUUUCGGCGGUUGGGGAUGGACUCGCGGCUUAUCAGCUUGUUGGUGGGGUAGUUGCUUACCAAGGCUUUGACGGGUAGCCGGCCUGGGAGGGUGACCGGCAACAUGGGGACUGAGAUACGGCCCAGACUCCUACGGGAGGAAGAAGUGGGGAAUAUGGCACAAUGGGGGGAAGCCUGAUGCAGCAACGCCGCGUGCGGGAUGACGGCCUUCGGGUUGUAAACCGCUUUCGCCUGUGACGAAGCGUGAGUGACGGUAAUGGGUAAAGAAGCACCGGCUAACUACGUG
rnacentral:rRNA from 1 species